rnacentral:rRNA from 1 species
UACGUAGGGGGCAAGCGUUGUCCGGAUUUAUUGGGCGUAAAGAGCGUGUAGGCGGCUAGGUAGGUCCGUUGUGAAAACUCGAGGCUCAACCUCGAGACGCCGAUGGAAACCAUCUAGCUAGAGUCCGGAAGAGGAGAGUGGAAUUCCUGGUGUAGCGGUGAAAUGCGCAGAUAUCAGGAGGAACACCGAUGGCGAAGGCAGGUCUCUGGGCCGAUACUGACGCUGAGGAGCGAAAGCGUGGGGAGCGAACAGG